rnacentral:rRNA from 1 species
AUUCCACUCUGCGUCGAAGGUGGGGCGUGAGCCCUGCUGGAGCGUGUGGAAAAGCAAAUGUAGGUAUAAGUAACGAUAAAGGGGGUGAGAAACCCCCUCGCCGCAAGACUCAGGUUUCCUGAUCAACGCUAAUCGGAUCAGGGUCAGUCGGGUCCUAAGGCUCAGCCGAACGGCGAGGCCGAUGGCAGAACCGGUUAAUAUUCCGGUACUACCCUUUAGGGUGACGUGGAGACGCAGUCGUGACAAUGCCGCCAGCUGACGGAAUAGCUGGUUAAAGGGUGUAGAAGUUGAUUGUGGCAGGCAAAUCCACCACAAGAUUCGAACCUGACAGUAUGGAGCGUCCUUCCGGACAAUCCAACAGUGCAUGUAAUCAUACUGCCAAGAAAAUCCGCUAAACAUAACCUUCAGGGUACCCGUACCGCAAACGGACACACGUAGUCGGGUUGAAUAUACUAAGGCGCUUGAGUGAUUCACGGUUAAGGAACUAGGCAAAUUAACCCUGUAACUUCGGGAAAAAGGGUCCCUACCCGUUAUCGGGAGGGCGCAGAGAAUCGGUCCAGGCAACUGUUUAACAAAAACACAGGGCUGUGCGAAGUCGAAAGACGCUGUAUACAGCCUGACACCUGCCCGGUGCUGGAAGGUUAAGAGGAGAUGUCAUCGCAAGAGAAGCAUUGAAUUGAAGCCCCAGUAAACGGCGGCCGUAACUAUAACGGUCCUAAGGUAGCGAAAUUCCUUGUCGGGUAAGUUCCGACCUGCACGAAUGGUGUAAUGAUCUGGACACUGUCUCAACCGUGAGCUCAGUGAAAUUGUAGUAUCGGUGAAGAUGCCGAUUACCCGCGAUGGGACGAAAAGACCCCGUGAACCUUUACUAUAGCUUAUCAUUGAAUUUGGGCACGUGAUGUGUAGGAUAGGUCGGAGGCUUUGAAGCAGGCACGCCAGUGUUUGUGGAGCCGCUGUUGAAAUACGACCCUUCAUUUGUUUGAGUUCUAACUCGUAAUACGAGGACACUGAUUGGUGGGUAGUUUGACUGGGGUGGUCGCCUCCAAAAGUGUAACGGAGGCUUCUAAAGGUGCCCUCAGACCGAUUGGUAACCGGUCUCAGAGUGUAAUGGCAUAAGGGCGCUUGACUGGGAGACUAACAAGUCGAGCAGGUAGGAAACUAGAGCAUAGUGAUCCGGUGUUUCCGCAUGGAAGGGACAUCGCUCAAAGGAUAAAAGGUACUCCGGGGAUAACAGGCUGAUCCCUCCCAAGA